UUUUGAAAGCAACAAUGGCUCCACUAUUUUGCCUUUUGGUAAAUAGAUGAGGGGUAUGAAAUGGUGUUUUUUUCCAAGUUAAAGGUCAGAUUGACUGCACUACUAUGAGCUUCUAAGGGACAUAUGGCUAUGGUUAUAUUCCAGGGACUUCUACAGGAGCGUGGUCCUGUCACCCUGGGAGCUAUGACCCUACCCUAAUAAAGCAAAAGGAAUGAGUGAGCUUACCUUGGCUUUGUUCCAUUGUCAAAUUUCUCCUUUUGCUGGUUCUGGAAUUUUUCUAUUUCAUCAUUUAUUCCUUCAUUCUAGUGAAGCAUGUCCCCGUGAAGUCUCUUGAGAAAGAAGGGAUGGAAGAGAGAGAGAGCGCAAGUGGGGUGUUGGGAGGGGAAUGGAGAGGCAAAAG